UGGCUCGAUUUCCUGGGGGGUGGUCUCAGCCCACUCCACCUCCCGUCAGUCGAGCGUAGAGUAGAGGGGCCAGGCAUCCUUUCCAGGGGAGGGGCGUUGAAGCAAGGAGCCUCUCGUGGGCUGUCCUAGCUUCACAUUU
rnacentral:snoRNA from 13 species